GAUGAACGCUGGCGGCGUGCCUAAUACAUGCAAGUCGAGCGAACGGACGAGAAGCUUGCUUCUCUGAUGUUAGCGGCGGACGGGUGAGUAACACGUGGAUAACCUACCUAUAAGACUGGGAUAACUUCGGGAAACCGGAGCUAAUACCGGAUAAUAUUUUGAACCGCAUGGUUCAAAAGUGAAAGACGGUCUUGCUGUCACUUAUAGAUGGAUCCGCGCUGCAUUAGCUAGUUGGUAAGGUAACGGCUUACCAAGGCAACGAUGCAUAGCCGACCUGAGAGGGGGAUCGGCCACACUGGAACUGAGACAUGGUCCAGACUCCUACGGGAGGCCGCAGUAGGGAAUCUUCCGGAAUGGGCGCAAGCCUGACGGAGCUACGCCGCGUGAGUGAUGAAGGUCUACGGAUCGUAAAACUCUGUUAUUAGGGAAGAACAAAUGUGUAAGUAACUAUGCACGUCUUGACGGUACCUAAUCAGAAAGCCACGGCUAACUACGUG
rnacentral:rRNA from 1 species